rnacentral:rRNA from 1 species
UGGGGAAUUUUGGACAAUGGGCGAAAGCCUGAUCCAGCAAUGCCGCGUGUGUGAAGAAGGCCUUCGGGUUGUAAAGCACUUUUGUCCGGAAAGAAAUCCUUGGCUCUAAUACAGUCGGGGGAUGACGGUACCGGAAGAAUAAGCACCGGCUAACUACGUGCCAGCAGCCGCGGUAAUACGUAGGGUGCAAGCGUUAAUCGGAAUUACUGGGCGUAAAGCGUGCGCAGGCGGUUUGCUGAGACCGAUGUGAAAUCCCCGGGCUCAACCUGGGAACUGCAUUGGUGACUGGCAGGCUAGAGUAUGGCAGAGGGGGGUAGAAUUCCACGUGUAGCAGUGAAAUGCGUAGAGAUGUGGAGGAAUACCGAUGGCGAAGGCAGCCCCCUGGGCCAAUACUGACGCUCAUGCACGAAAGCGUGGGGAGCAAACAGGAUUAGAUACCCCUGGUAGUCCACGCCCUAAACGAUGUCAACUAGUUGUUGGGGAUUCAUUUCCUUAGUAACGUAGCUAACGCGUGAAGUUGACCGCCUGGGGAGUACGGUCGCAAGAUUAAAACUCAAAUGAAUUGACGGGGUCAUAGCUGUUUCCU